rnacentral:rRNA from 1 species
AGAGUUUGAUCCUGGCUCAGGACGAACGCUGGCGGCGUGGAUUAGGCAUGCAAGUCGAACGGUAUGGACCUUUCGGGGUUCAGAGAGUGGCGAACGGGUGAGUAACACGUAGGUAAUCUACCCUCAAGACGGGGACAACCCAGGGAAACUUGGGCUAAUACCGGAUGUGUGUAGUGGCUAUUUUUCUGAUUAUCAUUAUUUACGUAAGUGAGUAAUAAUAAGAAGGGAAAGUGGUUAUUACAUAAAAGGUGGCGUAAGCUGCCGCUUGGGGAUGAGCCUGCGUCCUAUUAGUUAGUUGGUGAGGUAACGGCUUACCAAGGCGAUGAUAGGUAGGCGGCCUUAACGGGUGGUCGCCCACACUGGGAUUGAGAUACGGCCCAGACUCCUACGGGAGGCAGCAGUCGAGAAUAGUCUACAAUGGACGGAAGUCUGAUAGUGCGACGCCGCGUGAACGAAGAAUCCCUUCGGGGUGUAAAGUUCUUUUAUACGUGAGCAGUGUCCUUUAUAUUAAUAGUAUAAGGGGAGAGAUAUUAGCGUAUGAAUAAGCAACGGCUAACUCCGUGCCAGCAGCCGCGGUAACACGGGGGUUGCGAGCGUUGUCCGGAAUUACUAGGCGUAAAGUGCAGGUAGGCGGAUAAAUAAGUUUAAGGUUAAAGGCUACGGCUUACCCGUAGUAAGGCGUUAGAUACUGUUUAUCUGGAAUGCGGUUGAGGGAGACAGAAUUCCUGGUGUAGCGGUGGAAUGC